AGGAGCGAGGAAGGGGAUGGGAUGGGCUAACCAGGGUCCAUCCCCUGCCUCUCUUCUCC
rnacentral:pre_miRNA from 1 species